UACAGAGGUCUCAAGCGUUGUUCGGAUUCAUUGGGCGUAAAGGGUGCGUAGGCGGCGCGGUAAGUCGGGUGUGAAAUCUCGGGGCUUAACUCCGAAACUGCAUUCGAUACUGCCGUGCUUGAGGACUGGAGAGGAGACUGGAAUUUACGGUGUAGCGGUGAAAUGCGUAGAUAUCGUAAGGAAGACCAGUGGCGAAGGCGGGUCUCUGGACAGUUCCUGACGCUGAGGUGCGAAAGCGUGGGGAGCAAACAGG
rnacentral:rRNA from 1 species